CGGGCGGUGGCCGAGCUGGCACAGCGCCGCGCUCACGACGACGACGAGCGGCAGCGGGAUGGCGUCAAGUGCAAACGGGUAUUGCUGGUUUCUCCAAAAAGUCCCACCGCAGACGCUGAGGUCGGCGUUGGGGAGUCGCCGCGACCCCGGCUGGGCGUGACUCCGCUGCAGCUGCCGCCAGCUGCCAGCGACGCCUGGGCCGGCCAGGCACGGCGCGCGCAGCUGGCGCUCUGUCGCCUGCCGCCGACGGCGACGUUUGUGGCACUGCUGGCGCAAGAGCUGCGCGGGCUGGCGACGAACGACUCUCCAGCUGCAUGCGAAGGGGAGGCUCUGUAGUGGUAGGGUAGGGGAGGUCGGCGGUGGGGUUGGGCGGAGUUGGAAGGGCCGUGGGAGUCGGUGAGUGCCCGAUGUGGUACAAACGUAUAGUUACGCGCAGUGCAAGGAUGUCUCAAGUGCGUCGUUAGGUUAUUCGCGUUGGCGUCCCUGCGCAAUGACUUGGUCCUGGCCUCGACUCGGGUAGGCAUGUAGUUCGAAAUGAUUUGAUUUGUCGCCUCGCGCUUUGGAGCUGUUAUCUUUACAUUCUGUUCGUGUUUCCUAUUUAUUUUAUGCAUUCCGCUUAUAUUUCCUUUGUUCCCUAUUCGCUGUCGCUGCGUGACAAAGAUAAGUGGACACGGGAUGGCAGGCCCCGACCGUAAAACAACUUAGCGGCAGCCCCGUGGCGUUAUGUGGCACAACACAGGUUCAUGAAGGUUAAAAAGACGCUCCUGCUCGCUCCCAUAGCUUUUUGUGAUUUUUCACGCGCAUCAACUUGGCGGCUAGUUUUCGCGCGAUUCAUCCGUGUCGUCAAUUAUCCGUCCCCAGGUCGAGGAUGUAUCUAGCUGUGCAUUACCAGUUCUCUGCAGGUGUCAAAUAAUUAGUCUGUUUUGCGUGUGCCAUGGUGGAAUUUCGGAGCCAACUGUCCCUAAACUGAUGCUGCGUUGGCUCCCGUCGGGAGUUGUGUGAAAUGUACCGAUACCCAUCGCUGUGGUCCCUAUCGUUUUUUACCUCCGCAUGACCAUCUGAAGCGUGCCGUGCCGUAUGGAUCCAAUUUGCGUUACAAGGUAUUUUGCACACUGCGGACGGUGUUGUCUCGAAUGAACUGUUUU